rnacentral:lncRNA from 1 species
UUUGAAAAAAAAAAAUAAAUAAUCUAAAAAAGCGGAAAAAUGUAUGUAUAUAUACAUAUGUAUAUUUUACAUUGCUACAGAACAAGUUUUUUGCCAAAAUGUCGCAAUGUUUUAUUUGAAAAAAAAAAAAGAAAAAAAAAAAAAAAAAAAAAAAAAAAAAAAUUACAUUGUCCAUAGUUAAAGUAUAAAAACAGAAACAAAAAACAAAAACAAAAACAAAAAUAAAAGCAAAAACAAAAACAAAAGCAAAAAUAAAAGCAAAAACAAAAACAAAAGCAAAAGCAAAAACAAAAACAAAAAUAAAAAGCAAAAAUAAAAAACAAAAUCGUUUUUAAUACAUGGAGAACAAUUUUUAAUUUUAUCUAAUGAAACAAAAAAUAAUGAUUAACAUUUAUCUGAAAUGACGUGAGUUACUCACUUUAAUUGUAUAUUUUGAUAAUAGCUACUUUUAAAUGAAUGAUUCGUCACUAAAAAAAAACAAAAUAAAGGAAAACCUAUACUUUUCUGUAUGUUUACUAGAAAGUAACAAACAAAAUGGAAAAAACAAAAAAAAAUAAAAAAAAAAAUAAAAAAAAUAAAAAAAAUAACAAAAAUAACACAAAUAACACAAAUAACACAAAUAACAAAAAUAAAGAAAACAAAAAUUGCCAGGAAGUAACUAAUGUGAUGGAAACAUUAACUGAAAAUCCAAAGGCUGUUAUAAAAACUAGCAAAAAGAACAAAAAGAAUAAAUCUAAACAGAAGAAAAAAAACAAUACAAAUAGUAACAAUAAUGUAAACGUAAAAAAAAAUACAAAUAAUGGUAAUAAAAGUAAUGGUGGAUAUAAUAGCCAAGUCCGAGAACAGUGGGACAAAAAACCUAUGAUAUGUAAAUAUUUUUUUACCAAAGGCAAGUGUAUACAUAAUGAAAAUUGUACAUUUUCACAUGCUGUUGAGCCUGUAUAUAAGAUGUCUAACUUAUGUAAAUAUUUUGUUAAAGGUGCUUGCUCAAAAGAAAAAUGUUCAUUUUCACAUGACCCAACACUGUUUUUUUGUCGAAAUAAUGUUUUAAACAACACAUGUCACAAUCCAACAUGUAGAUUUAAACAUGUUAAAAUUAAUAGUACUAUUACAAGUGUUGAUGAAUAUAAUUUAGAAGUUGAUAAUACAUUAACAAAAGAUGACAAAAUAAGGUUUAUAUAUAAUAAUAAAAAUUAUCUAACUGAAUUACUUCUUAAUAAUUAUUUACCACACGAAGAACUUAAUCAAAUUGAUGAAAAUACAUUUAUACCAAAAAAUAAAUACCCUUGGUUUAUUAAUGGUAUUAUAGAUUUACUUCGGUUUGAUUUUAAAAUCUCUAGAACAGAUGCAUUUUUUCAAAUUUUAAAUAGGUUUAAACAAAUGCGAAUGAUCGUGCCUAUGUCCAUAAGUGGAAUUAAUGCAAAUUGCGGUACUACACUACAAAAUAAUAGUGCAUCCGAUAUAUUGAGAAACAAAAACCUUAACUAUGAAAACGCAGUCUAUAAUAAUAAUAGUUACAGUUUUAACAGUAUUAAUACUAGUAACAACAAUAAUUGUAACCAUGUGAAUAAGUCACAAACACAUUUAAAUGAUAACGAAAAAAAAAAAAAAACAGAUGAAAAAAAUGUUGAGCGUAAUAAAAUCGAUACUAAUUUUGUACAUAAGGACAUCAACAGUGGAAAUUACAACAACAAAGGAAGUAGUAACACCGAAAAUGAAGACACAUUUGAUGAUUCAACAAUUUUCAUAAAUGAAGAAGAAGACGAUUAUUCUAAAUAUUUAAAUAAUUAUUUUGAAAUAGAUAGUUGAUAUCAUAUAUACAAACGACAGUGUUUCCGUAAUUUUUUUUUUUUUUUUUUUUUUAUUGUAUUACAUUAUCACAUUAUUUUAUUACUUUAUUAUUUUAUUACUUUAUUAUUUUUAUUGCUUUAUUAUUUUUAUUGCUUUAUUAUUUUAUUAUUUGUUGAAAUAAAAUGUUAUUUUUGCAUUCUUUGGCGGAAAUA